rnacentral:rRNA from 1 species
GGAUCCAGACUUUGAUUAUGGCUCAGGAUGAACGCAUGGCGGCGUGCCUAACACAUGCAAGUCGAGCGAGAAGGUUAAGAUGGAUUCUUCGGAUGACAGAUUAACUGGAAAGCGGCGGACGGGUGAGUAACCGCGUGGGUAACCUGCCCCAUACACAGGGAUAGCCAUUGGAAACGAUGAUUAAUACCUGAUAAAACAUAUGAAUCGCAUGAUUUAAAUGUCAAAGAUUUAUCGGUAUGGGAUGGACCCGCGUCUGAUUAGCUAGUUGGUAAGGUGAUGGCUUACCAAGGCGACGAUCAGUAGCCGACCUGAGAGGGUGAUCGGCCACACUGGAACUGAGACACGGUCCAGACUCCUACGGGAGGCAGCAGUGGGGAAUAUUGUACAAUGGGGGCAACCCUGACACAGCCAUGCCGCGUGAGUGACGAAGCC